rnacentral:lncRNA from 1 species
CCCCCGGGUCUCGAAUCUUCCUUUUUGCACAAGAAAUAUGGAAUUAAAUCCCUUCUAGAAUGAAUCCUGACAGAUGGAAGGAGAGGAUUGAUCCUCAAAUCAGUCCACGGAUCCCAUUUUCGGAGUUUAUUCUUCAGAAAUUCCAAAACAAAUCUGGCACAUGAGAGAUGCCACAGAGUGUCUGAGGUUGUUAGAAUCUUGCCGAGGUGGUGAGAUAAGGUGCGCCGAUUGGGGUGGGUUAUAUGGGUUAGAGAGUGUGUUUUGGC